rnacentral:lncRNA from 1 species
CUGAGCAUGCUGCCCAAUCCGCAUCACGGUACUCUUUGAGAGUUAAGUCAACACUUUUGGCAAAGAAGAGGCCUUGCCCUAGAAUGCCCUUAUAUACCGCAACACGUGAUAGGCUACCUCAAAAUGUGGCUGUUUUGAUGACUGAAGGAACUGACUUAAGACCUUCACAGCAUAUGACAGAUUAGGUCUCGUGAUUGUAAGGUAUAAGAGUUUUCCCACUAACCUCCUAUACAUGUUUGCAUCUACAAUAGCUUCACCAUCAUCUUUGCUUAACUUUAAAUUCUGUGGCAACGGUUUGGCACUAAGAUAACCUACGUCUGUCAAAAUUUCUAGUGCAUAUUUUCUUGACAAAUGGAUAUGCCAUUCGAACUCCUUGCUACCUCAGGUCCUAGGAAGAAUUUUAUAACUCCCAAGUCUUUCAAUUUAAAUUGCUCAUUCAAACCUUGUUUAAAUUGCUCAAUGUAGGUGUUAUCGUUCCUUCCAAUGAUAAUGCCAUCCACAUAUAUGAGAAGCACGGUGAAUGAACAGCCUUCUUGUUUACUGAAUAGGAAAUAAUCAAAUUUUGAUUGCUUGAAACCUUGUGAGAUGAUGUAAGAAGACAACUUGGUGUUCCACUGUCUUGACGCCUGCUUAAGGCCAUAAAUCGACUUAUUUAAUCUACAAACCAGCUUCUCACCGUUCGCACCCUGAUGUUCAUAACUAGGAGGCAUCAUCAUAUAAACUUCUUCCUCCAGCUCACCGUGAAGAAAGGCGUUUUUGAUGUCAAUCUGGUGGAGAUACCAUUGCCUCUAAGCAGCAAUAGCAAGUAAAGUCUUCACCGUAACUAACUUGGCAACUGGUGAAAACGUUUCUUCGUAAUCCAAACCAGCUUGUUGGGUAAAGCCCUUGGCUACAAGCUGGGCCUUUUUCAUCUCUUCAGUACCAUCUUAUUUAACUUUGAAAACCCAUUUGCAAGCUACAGGAGUUUUGUGGGGAGGAAGAGGAACAAUAGACCAGGUGUUAUUAGAGAAGUGCUUGAUACUUUGAAUCCAUAGCUUUGCACCAAUCUGGAUUUUUAGCAGCUUCAACAAAUGACUGAGGUUCAAGAACCGUAGAUAAGACCAGUGCAUAGUGUUUGUGGGAUGGUGACAGCCUACUAUAGUCUAAGUAAUCUGAGACGAGGUACUUUGGUCCAUAGGCAGAUCCAUUCGCCAUGGGAUUUGAUUGGGACGCAGCAGAAAUCUGAGAUACCAGAUUGCAAUGAGUUAUGAAGAUAAGAUGGAAUUUUCUUGGGUCUAUUUGAUCAUCGAGUGGAAGAAGGGGAUGAAGUGGAAGAUUUUUCAAAUUGAGAUUUAUCGGUUAUAAGUGAAAGGUGAGGUGGAGGAGCACUAUGUGGGGUAGAGGUUGAAGUAUGUUGAGCAAUAACAUGAGAAUAAGGAGCAUCUGAAGGAUGCUCUUUUGAGGAAUAGGAUUGUGAAAUGGCAGAAGUAUCAUAGGGAUUAAUAUCAGGAUGUGAGUGACAUGGGACUGGGAAAAAUGGCUGAUCAAAACAAGAAGACAUGUUGGAAGUGGAAGUAGAGUUGAUCAACAUAGGAUGAUGAUAGGAAAAAAUAUUCUCAUAAAAGUGUACAUCUCGGGAGGUGAACGUGGAAUGUGUUAGAAGAUUAUAAAGUUUGUAGGCCUUCAUGCCGUAAG